CGGGUUGUAAAGCUCUUUCGGCAGGAACGAAACGGUGUGGGCGAAUACCCUGCAUCACUGACGGUACCUGAAGAAGAAGCACCGGCUAACUACGUGC
rnacentral:rRNA from 1 species